rnacentral:rRNA from 1 species
GAUGAACGCUGGCGGCGUGCCUAAUACAUGCAAGUCGAGCGAACGGACGAGAAGCUUGCUUCUCUGAUGUUAGCGGCGGACGGGUGAGUAACACGUGGAUAACCUACCUAUAAGACUGGGAUAACUUCGGGAAACCGGAGCUAAUACCGGAUAAUAUUUUGAACCGCAUGGUUCAGAAGUGCAAGACGGUCUUGCUGUCACUUAUAGAUGGAUCCGCGCUGCAUUAGCUAGUUGGUAAGGUAACGGCUUACCAAGGCAACGAUGCAUAGCCGACCUGAGAGGGUGAUCGGCCACACUGGAACUGAGACACGGUCCAGACUCCUACGGGAGGCAGCAGUAGGGAAUCUUCCGCAAAGGGCGAAAGCCUGACGGAGCAACGCCGCGUGAGUGAUGAAGGUCUUCGAAUCGUAAAACUCUGUUAUUAGGGAAGAACAUAUGUGUAAGUAACUGUGCACAUCUUGACGGUACCUAAUCAGAAAGCCACGGCUAACUACGUG